AGGAUCAUUACUGUGAAUGCCGGUCGCGCUCCGCGCCCUGCUCCGCCCCUUGCGGGCGUCGAGCGGUGCGGGCGCGGUCCGUGCGCGUCCCACUUAUCAAACCACUUGUGCACCUGUCCGGGGGUGAAACCCCGUAUACACAAACAACUGAAAUGAAACGAACCUUUUGGGGCGAUGUGCCUCUUAAACAUGUAACAACUUUCAACAACGGAUCUCUUGGCUCUCGCAUCGAUGAAGAACGCAGCGAAAUGCGAUAAGUAAUGUGAAUUGCAGAAUUCAGUGAAUCAUCGAAUCUUUGAACGCACCUUGCGCCCGCUGGUAUUCCGGCGGGCAUGCCCGUUUGAGUGUCUUGAAACCAUCAACCCCCCGCCUUUGCGGGCGCGGGGGUUGGACGUGGGGGACUUGCUGCGCGCGAGCGCGGCUCCCCUUAAAUGCAUCGGUUGGGCUUGGGAUCGCCCGCGUGCCUCUGGCGUUGUAUCUACCUCGCUUGCUGGCCAUCGGCUUUCCCCUUGCGCGCUCGGCCUUGACCUUGCCUCUGGAGCGGCGGUCGACUUUGACGGUUUUUCCGUUCUUUCUUCUGACCUCAAAUCGGGUAGGACUACCCGCUGAACUUAAGCAUAUCAAUAAGCGGAGGAAAAGAAACUAACAAGGAUUCCCCUAGUAACUGCGAGUGAAGCGGGAAGAGCUCAAAUUUGAAAUCUGGCGGGUACCCCGUCCGAGUUGUAAUCUGGAG
rnacentral:rRNA from 1 species